rnacentral:rRNA from 1 species
ACGCUCGACACCUACGGGAGGCAGCAGUGGGGAAUAUUGCACAAUGGGGGAAACCCUGAUGCAGCGACGCCGCGUGAAGGAAGAAGUAUCUCGGUAUGUAAACUUCUAUCAGCAGGGAAGAAAGUGACGGUACCUGACUAAGAACGCCCCGGCUAACUACGUGUCAGCAGCCGCGGUAAUCUGAGCGGGCUGGCAAGGC